rnacentral:rRNA from 1 species
CCUAAUACAUGCAAGUAGGACGCACAGUUUAUACUGUAGCUUGCUACACCAUAGACUGUGAGUUGCGAACGGGUGAGUAACGCGUAGGUAACCUGCCUAUUAGAGGGGGAUAACUAUUGGAAACGAUAGCUAAUACCGCAUAACAGUAUGUAACACAUGUUAGAUGCUUGAAAGAUGCAAUUGCAUCGCUAGUAGAUGGACCUGCGUUGUAUUAGCUAGUAGGUAGGGUAAUGGCCUACCUAGGCGACGAUACAUAGCCGACCUGAGAGGGUGAUCGGCCACACUGGGACUGAGACACGGCCCAGACUCCUACGGGAGGCAGCAGUAGGGAAUCUUCGGCAAUGGGGGGAACCCUGACCGAGCAACGCCGCGUGAGUGAAGAAGGUUUUCGGAUCGUAAAGCUCUGUUGUUAAGGAAGAACGAGUGUGAGAAUGGAAAGUUCAUACUGUGACGGUACUUAACCAGAAAGGGACGGCUAACUACGUGCCAGCAGCCGCGGUAAUACGUAGGUCCCGAGCGUUGUCCGGAUUUAUUGGGCGUAAAGCGAGCGCAGGCGGUUAGAAAAGUCUGAAGUGAAAGGCAGUGGCUCAACCAUUGUAGGCUUUGGAAACUGUUUAACUUGAGUGCAGAAGGGGAGAGUGGAAUUCCAUGUGUAGCGGUGAAAUGCGUAGAUAUAUGGAGGAACACCGGUGGCGAAAGCGGCUCUCUGGUCUGUAACUGACGCUGAGGCUCGAAAGCGUGGGGAGCGAACAGGAUUAGAUACCCUGGUAGUCCACGCCGUAAACGAUGAGUGCUAGGUGUUAGGUCCUUUCCGGGACUUAGUGCCGCAGCUAACGCAUUAAG